GACGAACGCUGGCGGCGUGCCUAAUACAUGCAAGUAGAACGCUGAAGGAGGAGCUUGCUUCUCUGGAUGAGUUGCGAACGGGUGAGUAACGCGUAGGUAACCUGCCUGGUAGCGGGGGAUAACUAUUGGAAACGAUAGCUAAUACCGCAUAAGAGUAGAUGUUGCAUGACAUUUGCCUAAAAGGUGCAAUUGCAUCACUACCAGAUGGACCUGCGUUGUAUUAGCUAGUUGGUGUGGUAACGGCUCACCAAGGCAACGAUACAUAGCCGACCUGAGAGGGUGAUCGGCCACACUGGGACUGAGACACGGCCCAGACUCCUACGGGAGGCAGCAGUAGGGAAUCUUCGGCAAUGGACGGAAGUCUGACCGAGCAACGCCGCGUGAGUGAAGAAGGUUUUCGGAUCGUAAAGCUCUGUUGUAAGAGAAGAACGAGUGUGAGAGUGGAAAGUUCACACUGUGACGGUAUCUACCA
rnacentral:rRNA from 1 species